UUGGUUAUGUGGAGGAAUGGAUGGGAAGGAGUUUAGAUAUGUAGGGAGAGGCAAGGCAAGCUUUGGAGAAUGGUUAAUUUCUGGAUGAUUUCAAUGAGGCUGCUGCCAUGGGUAUUUAUAGGGAGAGGACGGACUUGUUUAAUUCAAUUUUCUGGUGGAAAAUAGGUAGGUGACACACGGCAUUGAGUGGAGAAUAUUGGUGGGUUAGGUCUUGAAUCAUACACUCAAUUCUUGUGCACAAUCUACUCAUUUUCUGUUGAGUUGGGGAUGAAUCAUCCACUCAAAUGUCAUGGUGAGUUAGGCAUUGCAUCAUCUCAAAUGUCAUGGUGAGU
rnacentral:lncRNA from 1 species